CCCACUGUACAUCCCCUUUCUACUGGCUAGCAGGGACUACAUUUCCCAUCAGUAGGGUUGCCAGACGAACAGUUUUCGACCGGAAAGUCCAGUCAAAAAGGGGACCUGGCAUCUCCAGUCAGCAUUGCUGACUGGACACUAAAAGUCCAGUUAUGAAGUAACCGCAAUCAGCCUCCCCUCCAGGAGGGCAGGAAGAGCAGCUGCUGCCUGGAGGAGCUGCAACUCAGCUGGAGAGAGAGAGAGAGAACUGAUUCCCAAGCACCCGGUUCUGGUGGAGAGAGCAAGGAGCUGACAUCUAAACUCCUCAUCAGCUGGACAGAAAGAGCCCUGGAAGUCUGGCUGGUAAUUACUCAAAACCAUCUCAGACUUAUGAUAACUGGCCGAUCACAGUUUUUAGCACCAUGCUUCAGUCCAGGGCUGUACUGGGGCAUGGCCCAACAUAUUUGGGAAGCAGAGCACUGGAAGGCAAACUCCUAAGUUGACCUGCGUUCAAAAGUCCUACAGAAGGGGGAUUUUUGUUGACUGCCGUCUUGGCCAAUACUGGGAAUUGAACCGGAGACCUGCAGAGCUAAAAGCACAACUUGCUACAGCUUAAGCGGAAGGUAAAGCUUUAGGUUGUAAGAGCUCCAGUUCCUCUGCAAGUCAGGCACAGAACGGGAGCACAACACUCACUGACUGACCAGAGACAUACGUUAAAGUAUUGUUUUCUUCUCCACUCCCAGUGAAGUCAAUGGGAAUUUUACCAAUAACUUCCAGUUGGAACUGAGUUAGGCUAAUGCUGAGUGCUGUUUGAAAGUCCCACAUGAAAACUGCUACUGAAAAGCUAAGUUGCGGUUCAAGGAGAGCAUGUAUACAGUUGUGACAGCAAAAUUUUAUAUCUCAUGCACGCCUGUACAACCCCCAUGAAGUGCUUGAGGUGCUUUGUUGUAAUAAAAAACCAUUAUGUUGUAUUGUGUAUAUUUUAUUGUAUUGAAGUGCAAGGCCAGUAAAAUAUGACACACCAGUAAAAGCCACCCAUUGAAACUGGCAUCCAAAACAAAUAGAGUGAGGGCAAUGCCUCACAACCUUUGCCAGGAAGAAGGAGCGGCAGCUUCAGUCAGAAUGCGCCAGAAGAGACAAGAAGAUAAUACGCCACUCUCCAUGAUGCCCUAUGCACUGACAAUUGGAUGACUAAGGCUAGUGGUUGGAGUUUUCUUGGCCUUUGAAAGGGCUGUAGAGAAGGUGCGGUUUAUGUAUUAUGUGCUGGGUAAUGGCUCUUUAUUAAAGCAACUAUUUGCAGAGCUGCUGUAACUGGAGCUUAGUGUUCUAGUCAUGUGUACACAGACUAACUUCCAGGUGCAAUUCUGUCCUUCAAGAUGUGCUACUUCAUCCCAAAGGCCUGCCUUUUUCACAAGAGUUUGUUGUGGCGAGAGGAUCCCAGUACAUAGCUCAUCAUGGGGGCAUAGCCUUUACCUCCAUCUCAUUACACUCUCUUAGACCUCAGAUUCCUUCAAAUAUGCUGGCCUGCGAAUGAGUCUCCCAUUCCUUAUUUGUGUUACCACUGUUGGUAGAGGAAUUGCUGCCACCCUGUGGCUGCCUUCUUUCAACUGAGCAAUUUCCUGUGGUCUUUUGUGUUGUCCGUAAACCCCAUGCUGCUGGCUCUGCUACACUAGGCCAGCUGAUGGCUGAGGCUCAUUCUGAGUCAUCCUUGUCCUGACCUGUGUCCCAGG